GCCGAACGCUGGCGACGUGCUUAACACAUGCACGUCGACAUGAGUGGCGAACGGGUGAGUACUACUUUGGUAACCUGCCCUCCGUUUUGGGCUAAGCCGUGGAAACGGGGUCUCAUACCGAAUAAAGGGGGAUGGGAUCGCGGCCUAUCAGCUUGUUGGUGGGUGGAUGGUCUACCAAGGCGGUGACGGGUAGCCGGGCUGAGAGGGUGACCGGCCAGAUUGGGAUGGAGGUAAGGUCCAGACUCCUACGGGAGGAAGCAGUGGGGGAUAGUGGCAAAGGGGCGUAAGCCUGAUGCAGCGCAGCCGCGUGGGGGAUGAAUGCUUUCGGGUUGUAAACCUCGUUCGCUAUCGAACGGGUAGGUGGAGAAGAAGCGCCGGCUAACUACGUGCCAGCCGCCGCGGUAAUUC
rnacentral:rRNA from 1 species